CCUACGGUGUGCUGCAGUGGGGGAUAUUGCACAAUGGGGGGAACCCUGAUGCAGCGACGCCGCGUGGGUGAAGGAGCGUUUCGGCGCGUAAAGCCCUAUCGGCAGGGAAGAAGAUGACGGUACCUGGCCAAGAAGCCCCGGCUAAAUACGUGCCAGCAGACGCGGUAAUACGGAGGGGGCAAGCGUUAUCCGGAUUUACUGUGUGUAAAGGGAGCGUAGAAGGAAGAGCAAGUCUGAUGUGAAAGGCUGUGGCUUAACCCCAGGACUGCAUUGGAAACUGUUUUUCUAGAGUGCCGGAGAGGUAAGCGGAAUUCCUAGUGUAGCGGUGAAAUGCGUAGAUAUUAGGAGGAACACCAGUGGCGAAGGCGGCUUACUGGACGGUAACUGACGUUGAGGCUCGAAAGCGUGGGGAGCAAACAGGAUUAGAUACCCGAGUAGUC
rnacentral:rRNA from 1 species